rnacentral:rRNA from 1 species
AACGAACGCUGGCGGCAGGCCUAACACAUGCAAGUCGAGCGAAGCCUUCGGGCUUAGCGGCGGACGGGUGAGUAACGCGUGGGAACGUGCCCUUUGCUACGGAAUAGCCCCGGGAAACUGGGAGUAAUACCGUAUGUGCCCUUCGGGGGAAAGAUUUAUCGGCAAAGGAUCGGCCCGCGUUGGAUUAGGUAGUUGGUGGGUAAUGGCCUACCAAGCCGACGAUCCAUAGCUGGUUUGAGAGGAUGAUCAGCCACACUGGGACUGAGACACGGCCCAGACUCCUACGGGAGGCAGCAGUGGGGAAUCUUAGACAAUGGGGGGAAACCCUGAUCUAGCCAUGCCGCGUGAUCGAUGAAGGCCUUAGGGUUGUAAAGAUCUUUCAGUGGGGAAGAUAAUGACUGUACCCACAGAAGAAGCCCCGGCUAACUCCGUGCCAGCAGCCGCAGUAAAAC